GAUGAACGCUGGCGGCGUGCCUAACACAUGCAAGUCGAACGGAGAUUACGGACGGAAGUUUUCGGAUGGAAGACUGUAAUUCUUAGUGGCGGACGGGUGAGUAACGCGUGGGCAACCUGCCCUAUACAGGGGGAUAGCAGCUGGAAACGGCUGGUAAGACCGCAUAAGUCGGCGAGACCGCAUGGUUUUGCCGGGAAAUGAGCAAUCAGGUAUAGGAUGGGCCCGCGUCCGAUUAGCCAGUUGGCGGGGUAAAAGCCUACCAAAGCAACGAUCGGUAGCCGGACUGAGAGGUCGGACGGCCACAUUGGGACUGAGACACGGCCCAAACUCCUACGGGAGGCAGCAGUGGGGGAUAUUGCACAAUGGAGGAAACUCUGAUGCAGCGACGCCGCGUGAGUGAAGAAGUAUUUCGGUAUGUAAAGCUCUAUCAGCAGGGAAGAUGAUGACGGUACCUGACUAAGAAGCCCCGGCUAACUACGUG
rnacentral:rRNA from 1 species